AUGGGGAUGAUGAAUCCUGGGUGGGAGGAAGGAGCCAGGUUGUCCCAAGGAAGCGAGCAGAAAGGCGGGGUAGCCGCAGUCUCAGGGAGGUCUGGCCCCCUGACCCUGGGAUGCGUCGCGGAGGGCCUGGCUGCGCGGGGUCUGGGCUUUGGCUGCGGACGGAUUAGGUCUGAUCCGAUUAGGGCCUGGGCCCUCGGCUUCGCCCAGUUGCCUGGCGCUGCCGGCGCCCGCCCCGCCCCCGUGCGCACCCGCAGACCCCCCAGAGACCCUUCCCCGCCCCGAACACGGCAUUGGCGCAGAAAUCGAGAGGCUCCGUGCGCCCCGGACUCGGCUCAUUUCCACAGCGCGAGCUCGGCUUCCGCCCCCUGCGGCCCUGCCGAGCCCCGCCCCGAGCUUGCGGGUGUCUGGGCCCCCGCCUCCGUGCUCGCCGCGUGGCGGGUGGGUUCCUCGCAGGUGGGGGGCGGGCCCCGCCCCGCCCCGCCCCGCCCCGCCCCGCCCCGCCCCGCAGGUCUCCCGCCCGUGCACCUGUCGACUAACGCCCCGCACGGCGCUGUGCUCCGCACCCACGCUACUUCACGUCCGUUUGUCCUGGCGUCCGAGCCGGGGGUCCGUCUGUCCCCGGCAGGCGGACCGCGCGGGGCAAGCGUCAGAGCUACGUGCGGCGGGGCGGGCGCGGCGGGCGGGGUGGGGGCGGCGCUGAGCGGCCGCCGCGGCGCGGGAGGCGGGGAGGCGCGGCGCGCCGGGGACAGCGGCGGACGGCGGCGGCGGCGGCGGCAUGCGGCUUCUCGCGCUGCCCAUCGGGGGCUGAGACGGCCGCAGCGCGGGCGGGAGGCGCGGCGGCCGGCGAGCCGAGGGCGCAGCCAGCCGGGCAGACCGCGGACAGCGGUCGGGGCGCCGCGCCAUGGGCCGAGCCGGGGGCGGGGGCCCGGGCCGGGGGCCGCCGCCGCUGCUGCUGCUUCUGGGGGCCGCGCUGGUCCUCGCCGCCGGGGCCGCGCCGGGUAG
rnacentral:lncRNA from 1 species